AACUACAUAAAGUAUUUUGGUCAUGAAAAUGUGAAAAAGGGAAUCAGGUAAAAGCCUGAGCAGCACCCACUACUGUAAGCCAGACGAGCAUAUAAAGCCACUGAGAAAUCGGGAAGGUAUAUGUGAGGAUGAAAGCGAGCCAGGAGACCUACCAAAAUGCAAACCAAUUUC
rnacentral:ncRNA from 25 species